GCCCGGAUGGUCUAGUGGUAUGGCAAUCUUCUUCUAGUCAUAUCCGAACCCCACUAAUUUCCUUAAUAGGUAUGAUUCUCGCUUUGGGCUCACACCUAAUCUGCGAGAGGCCCCGCGUUCGAAUCGCGGUUCGGGCC